rnacentral:rRNA from 1 species
AACUAUAACGGUCCUAAGGUAGCGAAAUUCCUUGUCAGGUAAGUUCUGACCCGCAUGAAAGGCGUAAUGAUUUGGGCACUGUCUCAACAGCCCGCCCGGCGAAAUUGUAGUACCGGUGAAGAUGCCGGUUACCCGCGACAAGACGGAAAGACCCCAUGGAGCUUUACUGUAGCCUAAUAUUGGGUUUCGAUGUUGCAUGCACAGGAUAGAUGGGACUCUUGGAAACCAAGGCUUUGGCUUUGGCGGAGAGGCCGUUGGGAUACCAUCCUUGCGAUAUUGGAAUUCUAACCUGCGGCUCUGAAUCGAGUCGGGGGACAUUGUUAGGUGGGCAGUUUGACUGGGGCGGUCGCCUCCUAAAGAGUAACGGAGGCGUUCAAAGGUUCGCUCAGCUUGAACGGAAAUCAAGCAAAAGAGUGCAAACGCAGAAGCGAGCCUAACUGCGAGACUGACGGGUCGAGCAGUAACGAAAGUUGGAGUUAGUGAUCCGGUGGUAUGUGAGUGGAAAUGCCAUCGCUCAACGGAUAAAAGUUACCCUGGGGAUAACAGGCUGAUCUCCCCCAAGAGUCCACAUCGACGGGGAGGUUUGGCACCUCGAUGUCGGCUCAUCGCAUCCUGGAGCUGAAUUCGGUUCCAAGGGUUGGGCUGUUCGCCCAUUAAAGCGGUACGCGAGCUGGGUUCAGAACGUCGUGAGACAGUUCGGUCCCUAUCUGUCGUGGGCGCAGGAUAUUUGAUGGGAGCUGUCCCUAGUACGAGAGGACCGGGACGGACGUACCUCUGGCGCACCAGUUGUUCCGCCAGGAGCAUAGCUGGGCAACUACGUACGGAUCGGAUAAACGCUGAAAGCAUCUAAGCGUGAAGCCGACCCAAAGAUAAGAUAUCCCACUGAUUGAAUCAGGUAAGAUCCCUUGUAGACUACGAGGUUGAUAGGCACGAUGUGUAAGUGGAGCGAUCCAUUCAGCAAGUGUGUACUAAUAGAUCGAGGGCUUGACCAC